GACCAACCCUUGAAGACUGCUGCAUCUUUAGGAUACUCUAAUCCAACAUCGAGGUCACAAACUCUCUUUUCGAUAAGAACUCUCAAAGAGAAUUAUGCUGUUAUCCCUACGGUAACUAAUUCCAUUAAUCAAAAUUUCUGGAUCAAAACCUGAAAGUUUUAUAAAAAUAAAGAAGCUUUAUUUGUUCCAUAGUCGCCCCAACCAAAAUCUAAAAUAGAUUAAUAUCUAAAAUUAUACAUUGUUACCAAAUUAUUCUUUUAAAGCUCAAUAGGGUCUUCUUGUCUUUCAAUAACAUUUAGGUUUCUUCACCUAAAAAUCAAGUUCUACAAAAUUAUACAGAGACAGCUUUGUUCACGUCAAACCAUUCAUACUAGCCCUCAAUUAUAGGGCAAAUGAUUAUGCUACCUUUGCACGGUCAGAGUACCGCGGCCGUUAAAAAUUAUUCACUGGGCAGGUCCGACUC
rnacentral:rRNA from 1 species